AUCUGCUUAGUAUAUAAGUAUUUUUGACUUCCAAUCAAAAGGUUUGGGUAGCCCAAAGUAGAUA
rnacentral:tRNA from 1 species